UAUGGAGUAGCCAUUCUUUUAUUCCUUUACUUUCUUAAUAAACUUGCUUUCCCUUUACAGACUCUCCCUGAAUUCCUUCUUGCGCAAGAUCCAACAACCCUCUCUUGGGGUCUGGAUUGGGACCCCUUUCCUGUAACAUUGAGAUUACAGGCAUGAGCCACCA